rnacentral:rRNA from 1 species
GAUGAACGCUAGCGGGAGGCUUAACACAUGCAAGUCGAGGGGCAGCACGAGGUAGCAAUACUUUGGUGGCGACCGGCGCACGGGUGAGUAACGCGUAUGCAACCUACCCUGUACAGGGGGAUAGCCCGGAGAAAUUCGGAUUAAUACCCCAUAAAGAUAUCUGGAGGCAUCUUUAGAUAUUUAAAGUUUCGGCGGUACGGGAUGGGCAUGCGUAACAUUAGCUAGUUGGUAGGGUAACGGCCUACCAAGGCAACGAUGUUUAGGGGUCCUGAGAGGGUGAUCCCCCACACUGGUACUGAGACACGGACCAGACUCCUACGGGAGGCAGCAGUGAGGAAUAUUGGUCAAUGGACGGAAGUCUGAACCAGCCAUCCCGCGUGCAGGAAGAAGGCGCUAUGCGUUGUAAACUGCUUUUCCAGGGGAAGAAAACCUGCUACGUGUAGUGGUUUGCCGGUACCCUGGGAAUAAGCAUCGGCUAACUCCGUG